ACUCCUACGGGAGGCAGCAGUGGGGAAUAUUGGACAAUGGGGGCAACCCUGAUCCAGCCAUGCCGCGUGUGUGAAGAAGGUCAUAAGAUUGUAAAGCACUUUAAGCAGGGAGGAAGAGCCAGUGGAGAAACACACUGGUGGUGACGUUACCUGCAGAAUAAGCACCGGCUAACUCUGUGCCAGCAGCCGCGGUAAUACAGAGGGUGCGAGCGUUAAUUCGGAAUUACUGGGCGUAAAGCGGGUGCAGGUGGUGCACUAAGUCAUAUGUGAAAGCCCUGGGCUUAACCUAGGAACAGCAUAUGAUACUGGUGAACUAGAGUAUAUGAGAGGGAAGUAGAAUUCCAGGUGUAGCGGUGAAAUGCGUAGAGAUCUGGAGGAAUACCGAUGGCGAAGGCAGCUUUCUGGCACAAUACUGACACUCAGACCCGAAAGCGUGGGUAGCAAUCAGGAUUAGAUACCCUGGUAGGAUAGCGU
rnacentral:rRNA from 1 species